AAAUUCUUUCCUUGGAAACAAAUAGUUAAUAGUACAAAAUUAAUAACAGCUUUACAUGAUGCAUGAUUCAUCAAAGUUAAAAUUUCCUAUGAACAGAUUAUUGCAAAAUGCAAUCAAGCCGUGAAAACUUUGUUCAGAAACAUUUGCUGUUUAUGAGGAAAUUUGUCCAAACAAUAAUGAUCACUAACUAUAGUCUAUAGGAAUAGGACAUAACAUCCCAUCCCAUCCAAUUCCAAAGUUUAAACUAAAGAAAUCAUAAUUCAAAUUCCAUGUGCAUUCCAACUAUUGACAUUAAUUAUAUUAGGAAGCUUGUGGCGAGCAAAAACUUAGUAAGAGACAAUAACUGUUAAAAAUAAAAGAGUUUGAGAAGCCAAUUACAGCAACGCAGGCCUAUAUUUAACUUCAGUUCCAACCAGAUAUUAUAUCAAGAACCUGAGAUCUGCCCAACAGAUGUGUCCAUAUCCAGUAAAGUGCAGAAGAGGAUACCAUCAUUAUCAACAGUGAAAACGUUAGUUUCUUCAAUCCAAGGCAUCAAUGUAAACAUUCAGUAAUCCCCCCCACCCCCCCAACCUGUGCAUUUAAGCUUCUUUGACGAAGCAACUCUACUUGAAUAGCAAUGCAGUCUUGCUGAAAUAUGGACAAAGAAGAAACAAAUUCAGAAGGAUGCCCAAAUGUUGAACAAUGAGACACCAUCAUAUAGCCGACAAGAGAUCCAUCAACCUUGGAUGACACAACCAUCAAAUCAAAAAAAUAAGCAGAUGGGGGUAAAGAUAAUUAGCAACACAAGUAAGGAAAACAUACCAUGGAAAAAUUAACUUGCUUCAAGAUACAGAGCUAGAGCAGAGGACGGGUUGUGCUCUUCUGGUUCCCCUCGCAACCAAUCCCGUGCACAUAUCAGAGCCUGUCGAGUGUCUGGAUUCAGUGAACUUCGAUGACUAUCAAGCACCCUACCUCCAAUGCUAAACGCCAACUCUGGUGCAACAGUAGACAUGGGAGUCCCCAAAACAUCACGUGCCAUCAUGGCCAAGAUAGGGUACCUUGGUCUGUGGACUUUCCACCAGUUUAGUAUGUUAAAAUCACAAUUACGAGGAAAGACAGGUUCCUCUAAAUAUUUGUCCAAAUCAGAUGCUACACUCUGCGUUUGAGAAGUCUCGUGCAGGAACUUGUCAAAGCCCUUUAAUCUAUCUCUACUGUCACUGCUGGUACUAGGUAAACUGUUGCCAGGCAAAGCUGAACCUUGAUCAACCAAUGUUGAACAGAUAGAGUAUGCAUUAAAAAGUUCUUUAAUACCAUCAGAAACUUCCUUGAUUCGAUCCAGGGCAGUACUACCAUAUAUCUGAGAAUAGUAGUAUUCCACCAACUUCAUCUUGAAUCGGGGAUCUAAGAUAGCUGCUACUGCCAAAGCCAAACUACACUUGCUCCAAUAUUUAUCAAACUUAGCUUUCAUCUUCAAUGCUAUGGAGCUAAGGAAAUCAUUUGUGCUCUUGCACCAUUCAAUUAAUUGGAUGUGAACAUCACAAAUCUCAGGAAAAUAUAUAUUUGCUGUCAUACAUUUGUUACCAGAAAAGACAUUGGUGAUUUCAACAAAAAGUUUCAAAUAACUAGUGAUAGAACUUGACCAUUCCCACUCUGCAUCGGUUAAAGCUGAUGAAUAGGCUGGGUCAUGCUCUUGCAACAGAGAAAAUGCACUCUUGUAUUCCAAUGCUGUUUCAAGCAUGAAAUAUGUUGUGUUCCAGUGAAUUGGAGAAUCAAGAACUAAGGUCUUCUGACUGCUGAUUCCAACUUGCUGGGAUAUCUCGUUGAACUUCCCAUGUGUUGCCUGUGAACUUUUAACAUAUCUGACACUUCCUCGAAUCUUUUGGGUCACUUCACGGAGUGCUUCCAUGGCAUCUUGAACAAUGCAAUUAAGAACAUGUGCAGCAGAACGUACAUCAAAUAACUGGCCAUUACUCAAAAGGGGUCUGUUUUGAGAGAUUCGGUCCUUAAUUCUGAGGACAAUAUCAUCAUCGAUGGAACAGUCAUCAAAUGUCAUGGCAAACAACUUGCAUUCAAUGUCCCACUCCAUAAGACACUUAAUAAUAACUUCUGAAAGCAUAUCUUCUGUAUGAGAAGGAUCCAGUGUCACAAAAUUUAGAAUCUUCUUCUGUAAUUUCCAAUCCUCAUCAAUAUAAUGUGCUGUCAAACACAAGUACUCUGUGUUUUCUGGAGAAGACCACAUUUCAAUGGAGAGGUUAAUUCUGCCCUGCAAUCUAUUUAUCAUUUCAUACACUUUCUCUUUCUCUUUCCCAUAAAUUUCCACGCAGGAGAGUUCUAUGGAGGUAUUUGGCAAAAACUCAAACAAAGGCUGGAGAUUUUUGACAAAUAUUUUGAAUCCAACAUGCUCAACCAUAGACAAUGGAUAACCAUGUAAUAUAAUCAUGCGGGCAAGAUCAAGCUGACUCCGCUCUUGAUCAAACCUACUACUUCCAAGACUAAUAACUUCAUCUUUUCUCUGCUCCUGGUCAUACUUUAUAACUGUGGGCUUAAUAUAUUCAUCUUUUCUUUGUCCUUCAUCAUAAUUGACAUUUGGAAGGCUAAGGGUAGUUUCCUUUUUCCUUCUCUUUGCUGCAAGUAGUUGUGACACAUCACAAUUAGAUCUUUUCAAGCAUCGCAUCAAGUGAUUUCUCAGAUGCGUAGUUCCACUAUUACUUGACCCACUUAGCCUCUUGUUACAAUGUACACAAACAGCAUAACAUAUGUCAGCCUUCCUAACCCUUUCAAAGUGAUUCCACACCACAGAGGUUAACCUUUUCGGUUUCUUAAUAGCUGAUUCAUUUGAGACUUCCAUUGCAUAAGGUGGAAUCAGCCAGUCUGCAUAUCACAUAAGCAAAUGAAAACAUAAUUUAAGUUUCUUCUGAAGAAGGGGAUAAAAGAAAUUAUGAAUCAUGUUAUGAAUAAGUAUAGUUCAAAUUUGCAUUUUAAAUUCAUCAUAAUUUAAAAUAAUCUGACAAAUAAUGAUCUAAUGAUUUUUACUGAAUCCAACAAAUAAUGAUCUACAACUUGUCAUAUCUUAAACAGUCAAAAUUAUGGAACUAAAAUUUAAUUAAAAAAGAGAAAUCCAAAGAUAAUUGAAGAAAAAGUUAAUAUUUUUUAAUUUGUUGUUUGAGGAAAAGGAAUUUCAUAGAAAGGUAUCGGUUGUUAUUUGCCUAUUUGAAGUUUCUUAUAUUUUUUUUAUAUGAUUUUGGCAGACUAUUAUGAUUUUUUUUGCACAUUGAAGAAGAAAAAUAGUU
rnacentral:misc_RNA from 1 species